rnacentral:rRNA from 1 species
UACGAAGGGGGCUAGCGUUGCUCGGAAUUACUGGGCGUAAAGCGUGCGCAGGCGGUGAGCUGUGUCCGAUGUGAAAGCCCCGGGCUUAACCUGGGAAUGGCAUUGGAAACUGGCUCGCUGGAGUGUGGCAGAGGGGGGUGGAAUUCCGCGUGUAGCAGUGAAAUGCGUAGAGAUGCGGAGGGACACCGAUGGCGAAGGCAGCCCCCUGGGCUAACACUGACGCUCAGGCACGAAAGCGUGGGGAGCAAACAGG